rnacentral:lncRNA from 1 species
UCAUUGUACAGACUGGCAUGUAUGUCUGUUUCACACGGGCAUGUAUUGUAGAAUGAUAUAACCUGUUAAUUAAUACAUGUGGUUGAGUGAAAUGUCAACUAUUAUUACUACUUUCUGCGAUAGUGAUUCAAAGUAAGUACCCGUCAGCGUCCUUUGGAAUACCAUCCAAAAGUAUAUCUGGCCACACAAAAACCUCCUGCUGCCGUAGCCUAUACUUUGGGGGAAAUGUGUAUAGUUAUAC